rnacentral:rRNA from 1 species
UACGGAGGGGGCUAGCGUUGUUCGGAAUUACUGGGCGUAAAGCGCGCGUAGGCGGCUUUGUAAGUUAGAGGUGAAAGCCCGGAGCUCAACUCCGGAACUGCAUUUAAGACUGCAUCGCUAGAAUUGUGGAGAGGUGAGUGGAAUUCCGAGUGUAGAGGUGAAAUUCGUAGAUAUUCGGAAGAACACCAGUGGCGAAGGCGACUCACUGGACACAUAUUGACGCUGAGGUGCGAAAGCGUGGGGAGCAAACAGG